rnacentral:rRNA from 1 species
UGCCAGACUCCUACGGGAGGCAGCAGUGGGGGAUAUUGCACAAUGGGGGAAACCCUGAUGCAGCGACGCCGCGUGGGCGAAGAAGUAUUUCGGUAUGUAAAGCCCUAUCAGCAGGGAAGAAGAAAUGACGGUACCUGACUAAGAAGCCCCAGCUAACUACGUGCCAGCAGCCGCGGUAAUACGUAGGGGGCAAGCGUUAUCCGGAUUUACUGGGUGUAAAGGGAGCGUAGACGGCUGUGCAAGCCAGAUGUGAAAGCCCGGGGCUCAACCCCGGGACUGCAUUUGGAACUGCGUGGCUUGAGUGUCGGAGAGGCAGGCGGAAUUCCUAGUGUAGCGGUGAAAUGCGUAGAUAUUAGGAGGAACACCAGUGGCGAAGGCGGCCUGCUGGACGAUGACUGACGUUGAGGCUCGAAAGCGUGGGGAGCAAACAGGAUUAGAUACCCCAGUA